GUCAAAAUGCCAGAGGACAACCUCUUUUAAGGGAAAAAAAAUGGGACAACUUUGAUUCAUGACAAAUUCAAAGACCUCAAAGUCCUAAAACUGACCAGAUAUCAGAGUUGCAACUCGUAUCGUGACUUGGUUUUGGAUCUUUUGAAUAUGUUGCUGGCUUUUAAACCAAUCAAGAAAUUGGAUUUUGGAAAUAAGGAUUUGCCCAUGACUUCUAGAUUCCCAGUCAACAACAUAACAUCAUCUUUGUGGACCUCUGGAGGAAGAAAUGGUGGACUGAAGAUGACCAGAGGAAAGAAUGAAGAACUGGCAAGCAGAAUAACUCAUUAAAGCUGUCUGGAUAAGGA